rnacentral:lncRNA from 1 species
CGCCCGGCUGCUCUCGGCCGACACAAGCUGCUGCUAGCGCCCGGGUUCCCGAUGGCCUCCCCCGCGCCUCCCUCGCGGCUGCGCCCUGCUCGCGCCCGGCUCCCGCGCGCCUCCAGCCGCAUCUGCUCGCCCGCGCCGCCCCGCCCGCUUUAUUCCAGCAACAUGGCCUCCCGCCUGGACGCGACCAUUGGCUGUCCCUGAACGGGGGUGCUGGGAGCGCCCCGGCCCCAGUCAAGCGACCGAAUGCAGCGAGCAAACCAUGAUCCUGGUCAGCAGCAUAAUAAACUCCCGUGGAAUACUGUGGAAUCAAUCUCCAGGCUCUCCAGUGAAUAGACACAGGAUAAAGCCCCAUUGCCCUCCGUAUACCAAUGGGAAGGGAGAAAAUCACUGCCUGGCUCAGAUCUGUGGGCUUUGCGUUGAAGACUGGUAUUUGCACCCUGAUGAUAGGGUGCAUUGCCCACCAGCAAGGAAGGCCACUGUGGAUACAGUCCUGAGGGUGGCACACACUGGUCUCUGCUGCUUCAGCCUGUGAAAACCUACACGGUCAAACCCCCUCCCAUCAGGUCAGUGUCACGAAUGUCCCCCUUUUACUGCAGAACGAAUACAGAGCGGGAAGGCCCCAGCCGCAUGCAAGCUCAGGAGACCAACUGUGAAAGGCAAGGGAGGAGAAAGAUGGGCUUCUUUCAGGGUGCAGUCUCUUACUUCUACCCCAGAAGCCCCCCAGUAACCCACAGUUCAAACUGCAGUUGCAGUGAGACAUCUUUUAGAUUAAAUAGUGUUGAGUGUGGUAUCUUUUGG